rnacentral:rRNA from 1 species
AGGACGAACGCUGGCGGCGUGCCUAACACAUGCAAGUCGAACGAGGUCCAACCGGUGGCAACACUGGUGAAGACCGAGUGGCGAACGGGUGAGUAACACGUGAGCAACCUGCCUCGAAGACUGGGAUAACCCCGGGAAACCGGAGCUAAUACCGGAUACCCCCACCGGGUCGCAUGGCCUGGUGAGGAAAUGGAUUCCGCUUUGAGAGGGGCUCGCGGCCUAUCAGCUUGAUGGUGGGGUAAUGGCCUACCAUGGCACCGACGGGUAGCUGGUCUGAGAGGACGAUCAGCCACACUGGGACUGAGACACGGCCCAGACUCCUACGGGAGGCAGCAGUGGGGAAUCUUGCGCAAUGGGCGAAAGCCUGACGCAGCAACGCCGCGUGUGGGACGAAGGCCUUCUGGGUUGUAAACCACUUUUCAGCAGGGACGAUUGUGACGGUACCUGCAGAAGAAGCCCCGGCAACUACGUGCCAGCAGCCGC